CCAGACUCCUACGGGAGGCAGCAGUGGGGAAUAUUGCACAAUGGGGGGAACCCUGAUGCAGCAAUGCCGCGUGGGUGAAGAAGCACUCCGGUGCGUAAAGCCCUGUCAGCAGGGAAGAAAAUGACAGUACCUGACCAAGAAGCCCCGGCUAACUACGUGCCAGCAGCCGCGGUAAUACGUAGGGGGCAAGCGUUAUCCGGAUUUACUGGGUGUAAAGGGAGCGUAGACGGCAAUGCAAGUCUGGAGUGAAAGCCCAAGGCCCAACCAUGGGACUGCUCUGGAAACUGUGUAGCUUGAGUGCAGGAGGGGUAAGCGGAAUUCCUAGUGUAGCGGUGAAAUGCGUAGAUAUUAGGAGGAACACCGGUGGCGAAGGCGGCUUACUGGACUGCAACUGACGUUGAGGCUCGAAGGCGUGGGGAGCAAACAGGAUUAGAUACCCUUGUA
rnacentral:rRNA from 1 species